CUCAUCCAGGUUAUAAGGAGACAAGUCGAAUGAAACGAUGUUAUUCAAGGACCUGCUGCAUUUGGUCUGAAUGCAAACAAUUCCUUUGGAUGGCUGAAUCAUAAUUUAUUUAACCAUAUACUUUGUGUUCUGAAGCAAAACAGAAAAUUGUUUUAUCUUUGGGGGAAGAGGGAAACAAGUGGAAUCAGGGAUGAACCAGCCAAGUACCAUCCCAGUAGGGAGCCCUCCCUGGAAGUCACACAGUGCAGGAUGCAGCUUCCACCCCCGACCCUGUGGGUCAGAGACAGCAGUGGCACUUGAUUGUUCAUACUGCUCAGGGUAGACCGACACCCUGCAUGGAUUGUGUUAGCCCAUGGGAGUCCUGUAUAAUUGAAGAGGAGGGUGUUGACUUGGAAGGAAGAACCGAAGUACCUACUAAAAAGGCAGGUGAAUGCUUGAAUAACUUAUUAGAAAGGCGAAGAAUGCGGCCCUAUUAGGUCUAAAGUGGUAGAGUGCUUUCUACAGAAAAUAAAAGCACAGUAUGACUCUCUCUACAGCCAAAUUUCAUAAAUAAUAUGUCUCAACCUGCUCCUUCUAUUUUCUUGUCACUAUCUUUUUAAACCUGCUUCCUGUUAUCUACUAUAAGAUUACUCAAAAAAUAAUGAAUGAAUGCAUGACUGCUACCUAAUGGGCUUUCCUUUGUGUCUAUUUGACCUAGUAUCUAUCUCUACAGCACUUGACAUGUGCCUCUGCUAAAACAGCAGUGCAGGCUUCAUCAUCCAUCCUCCUUGAAAUUAUUAUUUCGUAGUUUCAUGAAUUCCUUUCUAGCCUAUUCUCCUACUCCUCUGUCUCUUUUUCUUUCUAUCUUCUGCCUCUUUCCUAUCUUUGCCUGCUCCUCCUCCUUAAAUGUUAGCUUCCCCAACUACGACUAUAAUUUAAGAUUUAAUAGAUAUCUUUAUGUAUAAGGAUAUAGAAUAGGAUAAAAGGAAAGAAAAAAUACCUUAUCACAAAACUCCAAUGAAAAGGAAAUUGUAGAGCCAUAACGAUAUUAGAAAAAGCAAACUUUAAGAAAUGAUACUAAAGAUCAGUAGAUAUAUUUUGUACUAGAAAAAUCUCAUUUUAACAGAAAGAUAUAACAAGUCUAAAUAUAUCUGCCCCUGACAAGCUUCCAAAUCAAUAAAGAAAAAAAGAGACAGAACUAACAGAAGAACUAAACAAAUUCAUGAUGAUAGUGGGAAAAUGUAACAUACUCCUCUCAUUAACUGAAAGAACAAAAAAGGCAUUAAAGAAGCAUUGUAGAAGGUCUGAACACUAUGAUGAACAAACUUGACUUAAUUGACAUUUAUACAACACUGUAUUCAACAUUCCAGAGUCCAUAUUCUUUUCCAAAGCAAUGGAACAUUUACCAAAAUAGAAAAUUUUCUAGGCCAUAAAGCAAGUCGUAGCAAAUUUCAAAGGAUUGAAAUAAUACCAAGAACGUUUUCUGGUUUCUGUGGGAUUAAGCUAAAAUCAAUAACAGAAAGCAAAUUAGAAAAUUUCUAAAUUUGUUAAAAUUAAGCAACACAUUCUGAAUAGCCCAUGUGUCAAAUUAGAAAAGAUAACAUCUCACAGCCAUAAAACUGAGCAAAGAAGACAGACGUGAAGGGGUAGAUGCUAGACAACUUCAAGUAUGUAAGGUUCCAAAUCAUCUCUAGUGACAGAGAUCAGAAUAGUGGCUAUCUUUGCAGGAAGAGAAUUAUGAGAAAAACUUCUAAGAUGGUGGUAAUAGUCUACAUCAUAAUUUUCUGGGUUAUGUGACUGCAUCACUUUCUAAAAUUUUGCUUAAAAUUUGUACAUCGUACUAUGCUAUAUUUAAAUACAAACUUUACUAAAAGAAGCAAUUAAAUUUUUGUUAAAUAGAGCUUAUCUUUAACAACACUCCUUGCUUCUCCUCAUCCACUACUACGGUUUCAGUAAUUUCCUCUAUGCCUUGGCUCUAUAACUCUAUCAUAUUUCUGACGUCUAAUUUUAGUACCAGUCCUGAGCAAUGAAAUUUAUUCCUAUUAGACAUGCCAUUCAUGAUCCCAUUGUAACAGGUUUAAAACUGAAAUCUGCUAGAAGAUUUCUUUCUACCGUCUCAACAGUGCUAUUAUUUGCCCAAUUACACAGGCUCACGACAACCAGUUGUCCUUAAAUUUUCUAUUGUUUUAAGUGUCCAUACCUUGUCAUGAACACCUGAAGAUCUUUUCUUCAAAUUAUCUCUUGCCUACCCCAACUAUUUCCAUUUUCACUAAUCCGAUGAAGGACCCAUUUCCCUAUAAGAGAGCCCCAGUUAUCCUUGACCACGAAACCAUGACUUUCUGCCAAGAGUACUGCAACAGUCUCCUCACUGGCCUCAGACUUCAGCUGCUCCUCCUUCCAAAGCCUCCUUUGCACAGCUGCUGCAUAAAUCUGCUUAAAACGUUAUUUUUGUCAUAUGUUUCUCUAAUUAAAACAAAAACUUUUUAUUAUUUUCCAUUAACUGAAAGAAAAAUGGAAAGUUUUGAGCCUAAUAUACAGUUUUACAUAUUCUGACUCCAACUUGUUUUUCUAGUUUUCCUAAAUCUCCCAUAGCUAAAUCAGCCUUUAUUAUCUCCAUAAUCUUCUUUGUGCUUAUUUUCCAACCUCACUUGUCCAUCUCAUUUUUCUCCAGAUAUUUAAAUCUUAUCCCUCACUUCAGAGCAUUACACCACAAGAGGCCUUAGGAUUUGCAACCACAUAGACUAAGAUGCAAAUGCUAGCUUUGCCAUUGAUUGGCACUGUGACCUUGGGCAAGUUAGUUCACCUCAGACCCUCAGUCUCAGACCCUCAUCUGUACUCCACAGAUAAUUAUUAGGUACUUCCCAUCUGCCAAAGACUGUACUACGCUUAAGGAUGCAAGGGCGACCAAAGGCAGACAAAUGCAUCUCUGUCAUCAUGGAACUUCCAGCCCAACAAAAGAGAAACAUUAAUAAAAUCCCGUAAGACCCACGUUGCACAGUGUUAGAACUAAAGUGAAUACAUGCAAAGCAAGUAACUCAGUGUUGAACACUUUAUGGGUAGAAAAAAUAAUGGUUAUUACUAAUCCUCCAAAACCCAGCAAAAUACCCAUCUUCUGUGAUAAGUCUAACACUUCAAUUUCCUCUCCAAGGACUCUGGAAAUUAAGAUCACCCUCAUGUUACCAUGAAGUCUACAAAUAUCCCCUCAUUCUCCAAGUUCUUCUUUUACUGUCUUUACCAUGCAUCUGACAACUGACCAUGUACUUUUCAGAGGUAAUUUCUUUUGUUAUAUUGCCAUUAAACAGGGCAAGCAUUUUAUCUCAGCAACUCAAUCUAAGCUUUUUAAGAGUAUGGACUGAGUUUUUAAAAGUUUGAUAUGCACUAAAGCUCCCAGAACAUGCUAAAUAUUUGUUGAUUUAGUGAGUCCAGCCCUACAAGUCCAGCUCUAUGAAUCCCUAUGGAGUACUUGAAGUGAUUCCAGAGGUUUUCUUCCCCCACAUAGAAAAACAAUCUGGCCUAGAAUAUUGGGAAGUGGAAACAUCAUUACUCAUUUACCCUCUUUGAGAGUUUCUCCCACCCAUUUUCCUCUUUAGCCUGCCAAAAUGUUUCAAAUUUCUAGGAGCCCAGGAAAAGGCUGGUUUUGGCAGCAGACAAGAAAAGGAUGAAAUGUUGAUUACGAGGGGAAAAAAGUUAAAAUGAGCCAGAGCCAGAAUCCCUGAAAAAAAAUUUAAAUUGAAUUUCUAAAAGGAGCCUUGAUUCUUGGAGUAUGUUUAUUUCCCAUUGAGCUUGGGAGAUUAUCCAAAGGAAGUUAAAACCAAAAUAUUUCCCACUAGGAAUAGUAGACAUUGGCUUGCCAAGUUUAGAAUCUACUAACUCAUUGGGCCCUAGAUUUUGAAGCAGUCACAAAGAAUACCAUUUCACUUUUCCCUGGGGAAAUGAUUUCCAGCUUCAUAGUUUUAAAGUGUUUGAAGAUGUAAAAUUAUACUCAAAUAAUAUCUUAUGAAUGUUAAUUUUAAAGAAUAAAAAACACAAGUAUGUUUGAA